rnacentral:rRNA from 1 species
UACGUAGGGGGCUAGCGUUGUCCGGAUUUAUUGGGCGUAAAGAGCGUGUAGGCGGCCAGGUAGGUCUGCUGUGAAAACUCGAGGCUCAACCUCGAGACGUCGGCGGAAACCAUCUGGCUAGAGUCCGGAAGAGGAGAGUGGAAUUCCUGGUGUAGCGGUGAAAUGCGCAGAUAUCAGGAAGAACGCCCGUGGCGAAGGCGGCUCUCUGGGACGGUACUGACGCUGAGACGCGAAAGCGUGGGGAGCGAACAGG